GAUACCUACGGGGGGCAGCAGUGGGGAAUAUUGCACAAUGGGGGGAACCCUGAUGCAGCGACGCCGCGUGGGUGAGGAAGUACUUCGGUAUGUAAAGCCCUAUCAGCAGGGAAGAAAAUGACGGUACCUGACUAAGAAGCCCCGGCUAACUACGUGCCAGCAGCCGCGGUAAUACGUAGGGGGCAAGCGUUAUCCGGAUUUACUGGGUGUAAAGGGAGCGUAGACGGCGUGCCAAGUCAGAAGUGAAAGCCCAGGGCUCAACUCUGGGACUGCUUUUGAAACUGCCGGGCUGGAGUGCAGGAGAG
rnacentral:rRNA from 1 species